GACGAACGCUGGCGGCAUGCCUAAUACAUGCAAGUCGAGCGGAAUGACGAGAGCUUGCUCUCUGAUUUUAGCGGCGGACGGGUGAGUAACGCGUGGGUAACCUGCCUCGUACAGGGGGAUAACAGUUAGAAAUGACUGCUAAUACCGCAUAUGCACACAGCACCGCAUGGUGCAGGGUGGAAAGAUUUAUCGGUACGAGAUGGACCCGCGUUGGAUUAGCUAGUUGGUGAGGUAACGGCCCACCAAGGCGACGAUCCAUAGCCGGCCUGAGAGGGUGAACGGCCACAUUGGGACUGAGACACGGCCCAA
rnacentral:rRNA from 1 species